rnacentral:rRNA from 4 species
UACGUAGGGUGCGAGCGUUAAUCGGAAUUACUGGGCGUAAAGCGUGCGCAGGCGGUUAUAUAAGACAGAUGUGAAAUCCCCGGGCUCAACCUGGGAACUGCAUUUGUGACUGUAUAGCUAGAGUACGGCAGAGGGGGAUGGAAUUCCGCGUGUAGCAGUGAAAUGCGUAGAUAUGCGGAGGAACACCGAUGGCGAAGGCAAUCCCCUGGGCCUGUACUGACGCUCAUGCACGAAAGCGUGGGGAGCAAACAGG